rnacentral:rRNA from 2 species
UCCAGGCAAAUCCGGAUAAUCAAGGCUGAGGUGUGAUGACGAGGCACUACGGUGCUGAAGUAACAAAUGCCCUGCUUCCAGGAAAAGCCUCUAAGCAUCAGGUAACAUCAAAUCGUACCCCAAACCGACACAGGUGGUCAGGUAGAGAAUACCAAGGCGCUUGAGAGAACUCGGGUGAAGGAACUAGGCAAAAUGGUGCCGUAACUUCGGGAGAAGGCACGCUGGUGUGUAGGUGAAGCCCCUGCGGGUGGAGCUGAGACCAGUCGAAGAUACCAGCUGGCUGCAACUGUUUAUUAAAAACACAGCACUGUGCAAACACGAAAGUGGACGUAUACGGUGUGACGCCUGCCCGGUGCCGGAAGGUUAAUUGAUGGGGUUAUCCGUAAGGAGAAGCUCUUGAUCGAAGCCCCGGUAAACGGCGGCCGUAACUAUAACGGUCCUAAGGUAGCGAAAUUCCUUGUCGGGUAAGUUCCGACCUGCACGAAUGGCGUAAUGAUGGCCAGGCUGUCUCCACCCGAGACUCAGUGAAAUUGAACUCGCUGUGAAGAUGCAGUGUACCCGCGGCAAGACGGAAAGACCCCGUGAACCUUUACUAUAGCUUGACACUGAACAUUGAGCCUUGAUGUGUAGGAUAGGUGGGAGGCUUUGAAGCGUGGACGCCAGUCUGCGUGGAGCCAACCUUGAAAUACCACCCUUUAAUGUUUGAUGUUCUAACGUUGGCCCCUUACCGGGGUUGCGGACAGUGUCUGGUGGGUAGUUUGACUGGGGCGGUCUCCUCCCAAAGCGUAACGGAGGAGCACGAAGGUUAGCUAAUCCUGGUCGGACAUCAGGAGGUUAGUGCAAUGGCAUAAGCUAGCUUGACUGCGAGCGUGACGGCGCGAGCAGGUGCGAAAGCAGGUCAUAGUGAUCCGGUGGUUCUGAAUGGAAGGGCCAUCGCUCAACGGAUAAAAGGUACUCCGGGGAUAACAGGCUGAUACCGCCCAAGAGUUCAUAUCGACGGCGGUGUUUGGCACCUCGAUGUCGGCUCAUCACAUCCUGGGGCUGAAGUAGGUCCCAAGGGUAUGGCUGUUCGCCAUUUAAAGUGGUACGCGAGCUGGGUUUAGAACGUCGUGAGACAGUUCGGUCCCUAUCUGCCGUGGGCGCUGGAGAAUUGAGGGGGGCUGCUCCUAGUACGAGAGGACCGGAGUGGACGCAUCACUGGUGUUCGGGUUGUCAUGCCAAUGGCACUGCCCGGUAGCUAAAUGCGGAAGAGAUAAGUGCUGAAAGCAUCUAAGCACGAAACUUGCCCCGAGAUGAGUUCUCCCUGAGACUUUAAGUCUCCUGAAGGAACGUUGAAGACGACGACGUUGAUAGGCCGGGUGUGUAAGCGCAGCGAUGCGUUGAGCUAACCGGUACUAAUGAACCGUGAGGCUUAACCUUACAACGCCGAAG